rnacentral:rRNA from 1 species
GACGAACGCUGGCGGCGUGCUUAACACAUGCAAGUCGAACGAAGUGGCGAACGGGUGAGUAACGCGUAAUCAACCUGCCCUUCAGAGGGGGACAACAGUUGGAAACGACUGCUAAUACCGCAUACUGAAGGAGGGGAGUGCGUCUGAUUAGCUAGUUUGGGGGGGAACGGCCCACCAAGGAGAUGAUCAGUAGCCGGGUUUGGAGGGUGAACGACCACCAUGGGACUGAGACACGGCCCAGACUCCUACCGGAGGCAGCAGUGGGGAAUCUUCCGACAUGGACGAAAGUCUGACGGAGCAACGCCGCGUGAGUGAUGACGGCCUUCGGGUUGUAAAGCUCUGUUAGUCGGGACGCGGUACCGGAAUAGAAAGCCACGGCUAACUACGUGCCAGCAGCCGCGGUAAUAC